rnacentral:rRNA from 1 species
UACAGAGGGGGCAAGCGUUAAUCGGAAUUACUGGGCGUAAAGCGUGCGCAGGCGGUUAUGCAAGACAGAUGUGAAAUCCCCGGGCUUAACCUGGGAACCGCAUUUGUGACUGCAUAGCUGGAGUACGGCAGAGGGGGAUGGAAUUCCGCGUGUAGCAGUGAAAUGCGUAGAUAUGCGGAGGAACACCGAUGGCGAAGGCAGUCCCCUGGGCCUGUACUGACGCUCAUGCACGAAAGCGUGGGGAGCAAACAGG